rnacentral:rRNA from 1 species
ACGAACGCUGGCGGCACGCUUAACACAUGCAAGUCGAACGAGAGAAGAGAAGCUUGCUUUUCUGAUCUAGUGGCGGACGGGUGAGUAACACGUGAGCAAUCUGCCUUUCAGAGGGGGAUACCGAUUGGAAACGAUCGUUAAUACCGCAUAACAUAAUUGAACCGCAUGAUUUGAUUAUCAAAGAUUUAUCGCUGAAAGAUGAGCUCGCGUCUGAUUAGCUAGUUGGUAAGGUAACGGCUUACCAAGGCGACGAUCAGUAGCCGGACUGAGAGGUUGAUCGGCCACAUUGGGACUGAGACACGGCCCAGACUCCUACGGGAGGCAGCAGUGGGGAAUAUUGCACAAUGGAGGAAACUCUGAUGCAGCGAUGCCGCGUGAGGGAAGAAGGUUUUAGGAUUGUAAACCUCUGUCUUCAGGGACGAAAAAAGACGGUACCUGAGGAGGAAGCUCCGGCUAACUACGUGCCAGCAGCCGCGGUAAUACGUAGGGAGCGAGCGUUGUCCGGAAUUACUGGGUGUAAAGGGAGCGUAGGCGGGAUCGCAAGUCAGAUGUGAAAACUAUGGGCUUAACCCAUAAACUGCAUUUGAAACUGUGGUUCUUGAGUGAAGUAGAGGUAAGCGGAAUUCCUAGUGUAGCGGUGAAAUGCGUAGAUAUUAGGAGGAACAUCAGUGGCGAAGGCGGCUUACGGGGCUUUAACUGACGCUGAGGCUCGAAAGCGUGGGGAGCAAACAGGAUUAGAUACCCUGGUAGUCCACGCCGUAAACGAUGAUUACUAGGUGUGGGGGGACUGACCCCUUCCGUGCCGCAGCAAACGCAAUAAGUAAUCCACCUGGGGAGUACGACCGCAAGGUUGAAACUCAAAGGAAUUGACGGGGGCCCGCACAAGCAGUGGAGUAUGUGGAUUAAUUCGAAGCAACGCGAAGAACCUUACCAGGUCUUGACAUCGUAUGCAUAGCUCAGAGAUGAGUGAAAUCUCUUCGGAGACAUAUAGACAGGUGGUGCAUGGUUGUCGUCAGCUCGUGUCGUGAGAUGUUGGGUUAAGUCCCGCAACGAGCGCAACCCUUACUGUUAGUUGCUACGCAAGAGCACUCUAGCAGGACUGCCGUUGACAAAACGGAGGAAGGUGGGGAUGACGUCAAAUCAUCAUGCCCCUUAUGACCUGGGCCUCACACGUACUACAAUGGCUGUCAACAGAGGGAAGCAAAGCCGCGAGGUGGAGCAAACCCCUAAAAGCAGUCUUAGUUCGGAUUGUAGGCUGCAACCCGCCUACAUGAAGUCGGAAUUGCUAGUAAUCGCAGAUCAGCAUGCUGCGGUGAAUACGUUCCCGGGCCUUGUACACACCGCCCGUCACGCCAUGGGAGUCGGUAACACCCGAAGCCUGUAGUCUAACCGCAAGGAGGACGCAGUCGAAGGUGGGAUUGAUGACUGGGGUG